GAUGAUUUGGACUUUUUGUGUGAAGGCUUCAAAUCUCUCAGAGCUCAGAUGUCCUGUGGUCACGCUGUGACCCCGACCUCUCUCACCAACUGGUGUCGCAGGUUGUUGGACCAGGGUGAAAGCAGAUUUGUGUGUGGCGGGUCUGGUUGU